CCUACGGGCGGCAGCAGUGGGGAAUAUUGGACAAUGGGGGCAACCCUGAUCCAGCCAUGCCGCGUGUGUGAAGAAGGCCCUCGGGUUGUAAAGCACUUUCAGUGAGGAAGAACGCCUGGUGGUUAAUACCCAUCAGGAAAGACAUCACUCACAGAAGAAGCACCGGCUAACUCCGUGCCAGCAGCCGCGGUAAUACGGAGGGUGCGAGCGUUAAUCGGAAUUACUGGGCGUAAAGCGCGCGUAGGUGGCUUGAUAAGCCGGUUGUGAAAGCCCCGGGCUCAACCUGGGAACGGCAUCCGGAACUGUCAAGCUAGAGUGCAGGAGAGGAAGGUAGAAUUCCCGGUGUAGCGGUGAAAUGCGUAGAGAUCGGGAGGAAUACCAGUGGCGAAGGCGGCCUUCUGGACUGACACUGACACUGAGGUGCGAAGGCGUGGGUAGCAAACAGGAUUAGAUACCCGAGUAGUC
rnacentral:rRNA from 1 species